rnacentral:rRNA from 1 species
UACGAAGGGGGCUAGCGUUGUUCGGAAUCACUGGGCGUAAAGCGCACGUAGGCGGCUGUGUCAGUCAGGGGUGAAAUCCCGGAGCUCAACUCCGGAACUGCCUCUGAUACAGCACGUCUUGAGUUCGAGAGAGGUGGGUGGAAUUCCUAGUGUAGAGGUGAAAUGCGUAGAUAUCGGGAGGAACGCCAGUGGCGAAAGCGGGUUCCUGGAUGCCUUCUGACGCUGAGGCGCGAAAGCGGGGGGAGCAAACGGG